UGUGAACUCGAAGAGUAGGGCGGGACACGUGGUAUCCUGUCUGAAUAUGGGGGGACCAUCCUCCAAGGCUAAAUACUCCUGACUGACCGAUAGUGAACCAGUACCGUGAGGGAAAGGCGAAAAGAACCCCGGCGAGGGGAGUGAAAAAGAACCUGAAACCGUGUACGUACAAGCAGUGGGAGCACCUUCGGGUGUGACUGCGUACCUUUUGUAUAAUGGGUCAGCGACUUAUAUUCUGUAGCAAGGUUAACCGUAUAGGGGAGCCGCAGGGAAACCGAGUCUUAACUGGGCGUUAAGUUGCAGGGUAUAGACCCGAAACCCGGUGAUCUAGCCAUGGGCAGGUUGAAGGUUGGGUAACACUAACUGGAGGACCGAACCGACUAAUGUUGAAAAAUUAGCGGAUGACUUGUGGCUGGGGGUGAAAGGCCAAUCAAACCGGGAGAUAGCUGGUUCUCCCCGAAAGCUAUUUAGGUAGCGCCUCGUGAACUCAUCUUCGGGGGUAGAGCACUGUUUCGGCUAGGGGGUCAUCCCGACUUACCAACCCGAUGCAAACUACGAAUACCGAAGAAUGUUAUCACGGGAGACACACGGCGGGUGCUAACGUCCGUCGUGAAGAGGGAAACAACCCAGACCGCCAGCUAAGGUCCCAAAGUCAUGGUUAAGUGGGAAACGAUGUGGGAAGGCACAGACAGCCAGGAUGUUGGCUUAGAAGCAGCCAUCAUUUAAAGAAAGCGUAAUAGCUCACUGGUCGAGUCGGCCUGCGCGGAAGAUGUAACGGGGCUAAACCAUGCACCGAAGCUGCGGCAGCGACACUAUGUGUUGUUGGGUAGGGGAGCGUUCUGUAAGCCUGCGAAGGUGUGCUGUGAGGCAUGCUGGAGGUAUCAGAAGUGCGAAUGCUGACAUAAGUAACGAUAAAGCGGGUGAAAAGCCCGCUCGCCGGAAGACCAAGGGUUCCUGUCCAACGUUAAUCGGGGCAGGGUGAGUCGACCCCUAAGGCGAGGCCGAAAGGCGUAGUCGAUGGGAAACAGGUUAAUAUUCCUGUACUUGGUGUUACUGCGAAGGGGGGACGGAGAAGGCUAUGUUAGCCGGGCGACGGUUGUCCCGGUUUAAGCAUGUAGGCUGGUUAUCCAGGCAAAUCCGGAUAACCAAGGCUGAGGUGUGAUGACGAGGCACUACGGUGCUGAAGUAACAAAUGCCCUGCUUCCAGGAAAAGCCUCUAAGCAUCAGGUAACAUCAAAUCGUACCCCAAACCGACACAGGUGGUCAGGUAGAGAAUACCAAGGCGCUUGAGAGAACUCGGGUGAAGGAACUAGGCAAAAUGGUGCCGUAACUUCGGGAGAAGGCACGCUGGUGUGUAGGUGAAG
rnacentral:rRNA from 1 species